rnacentral:rRNA from 1 species
AUCGAACGCUGGCGGCAUGCCUUACACAUGCAAGUCGAACGGCAGCACGUGUGCUUGCACCUGGUUGCGAGUGGCUCACGGGUGAGUAAUACAUCGGAACAUGUCCUGUUGUGGGGGAUAGCUCGGCGAAAGCCUGAUUAAUACCGCAUACUAUCUACGGAUGAAAGCGGGGGACCUUCGGGCCUCGCGCUAUAGGGUUGGCCGAUGGCUGAUUAGCUAGUUGGUGGGGUAAAGGCCUACCAAGGCGACGAUCAGUAGCUGGUCUGAGAGGACGACCAGCCACACUGGGACUGAGACACGGCCCAGACUCAUACGGGAGGCAGCAGUGGGGAAUUUUGGACAAUGGGAGAAAGCGUGAUCCAGCAAUGGCGAGUGUGUGAAGAAGGCCUUCGGGUUGUAAAGCACUUUUGUCCGGAAAGAAAUCCUUGGCCCUAAUACGGUCGGGGGAUGACGGUACCGGAAGAAUAAGCACCGGCUAACUACGUG